UACGGGGGGGGCAAGCGUUGUUCGGAAUUACUGGGCGUAAAGGGCGCGUAGGCGGCCAACUAAGUCGGAUGUGAAAUCCCCAGGCUCAACUUGGGAACUGCAUCCGAUACUGGUCGGCUUGAAUCCGGGAGAGGGAUGCAGAAUUCCAGGUGUAGCGGUGAAAUGCGUAGAUAUCUGGAGGAAUACCGGUGGCGAAGGCGGCAUCCUGGACCGGCAUUGACGCUGAUGUGCGAAAGCCAGGGGAGCAAACGGG
rnacentral:rRNA from 2 species